UCAACAUCCAGUCCUCACCACCCCCAAGGC
rnacentral:sRNA from 1 species